rnacentral:rRNA from 1 species
AUUGAACGCUGGCGGCAGGCCUAACACAUGCAAGUCGAGCGGAGCGGCGGACGGGUGAGUAAUGCCUAGGAAUCUGACUGGUAGUGGGGGAUAACGUCCGGAAACGGGCGCUAAUACCGAAUAAUAUAAGAUGAGCCUAGGACGGAUUCGCUUGUUGUUGGGGUAAAGGCCUACCAAGGCGACGAUCCGUAACUGUUCUGAGAGGAUGAUCAGUAACUCUGGAACUGAGACACGGUCCAGACUCCGACGGGAGGCAGCAGUGGGGAAUAUUGGACAAUGGUCGCAAUCCUGAUCCAGCCAUGCCGCGUGUGUGAAGAAGUUCUUCGGAUUGUAAAGCACUUUAAGUUGGGAGGCGUUACCAACAGAAUAAGCACCGGCUAACUUCGUGCCAGCCGCCGCGGUAAUUC